rnacentral:rRNA from 1 species
CCUACGGGUGGCAGCAGUAGGGAAUAUUGCUCAAUGGGGGAAACCCUGAAGCAGCAACGCCGCGUGGAGGAUGAAGGUUUUCGGAUUGUAAACUCCUUUUGUUAGAGAAGAUAAUGACGGUAUCUAACGAAUAAGCACCGGCUAACUCCGUGCCAGCAGCCGCGGUAAUACGGAGGGUACAAGCGUUACUCGGAAUCACUGGGCGUAAAGGGCGCGUAGGCGGGAUAGCAAGUCAGAUGUGAAAUCCUAUGGCUUAACCAUAGAACUGCAUUUGAAACUGGUAUUCUAGAGUAUGGGAGAGGUAGGUGGAAUUCUUGGUGUAGGGGUAAAAUCCGUAGAGAUCAAGAGGAAUACUCAUUGCGAAGGCGACCUGCUAGAACCUCACUGACGCUGAUGCGCGAAAGCGUGGGGAGCAAACAGGAUUAGAUACCCUUGUAGUC